rnacentral:lncRNA from 1 species
AGUGUCCCCCCAGCCCCCCCUGUCCCCUGUGUCCCCAGGGGAGCUGCCCAAGCAGGUGAAGGUGAAGAAAUUGGCCAAGCUGAAAUCGCUGGACACAAAACCCGGAAUUUACACCUCCUAUAGAACCUUCCUGCACAAAGACAAAACCCUGAUCAAGAGGCUGCUCAAGGUGAGCACAAAAUUGACAAUUUCGGGGUUCAGAACAUCCUGGGGCUCCCCAAAAGAGCAGAAUUUACAUUUUUGGGGGGUUCAACCCAUCCUGGGGCUCCCCAAAAGAGCAGAAUUUACAUUUUUGGGGGGUUCAGAACAUCCUGGGGCUCCCCAAAAGAGCAGAAUUUACAUUUUUGGGGGGUUCAAUCCAUCCUGGGGCUCCCCAAAAGAGCAGAAUUUACAUUUUUGGGGUUCAAUCCAUCCUGGGGCUCCCCAAAAGAGCAGAAUUUACAUUUUUGUGGUCUGGGUUUGGGGUCUGGAUUUGGGUUUGGGGNNNNNNNNNNNNNNNNNNNNUGUCCCCUGUGUCCCCAGGGGAGCUGCCCAAGCAGGUGAAGGUGAAGAAAUUGGCCAAGCUGAAAUCGCUGGACACAAAACCCGGUGAGGGCGGGAGCCCCUCCCCCAUAUUGAUCAAUGAUUGAUUGAUUGAUCGAUUGAUCCCUGAUCGAUUGAUCGAUUGAUUGAUCCCUGAUUGAGUGCGGGAGCCCCUCCCGCCUGAUUGAUCCCUGAUCGAUUGAUUGAUUGAUCGAUUGAUUGAUUGAUCCCUGAUUGAUCCCUGAUUGAUCACCUGACUGAUCCCUGAUUGAUUGAUUGAUUGAUUGAUCCCUGAUUGAUCCCUGAUUGAUUGAUUGAUCGAUUGAUUGAUCCCUGAUUGAUCCCUGAUUGAUUGAUCCCUGAUUGAUCGAUUGAUCGAUUGAUCACCUGAUUGAUCCCUGAUUGAUCCCUGAUUGAUUGAUUGAUUGAUCCCUGAUUGAUCCCUGAUUGAUUUCCUGAUUGAUCCCUGAUUGAUCCCUGAUUGAUCCCUGAUUGAUUGAUUGAUUGAUUGAUCCUUGAUGGAUUGAUUGAUUGAUUGAUCCCUGAUUGAUCCCUGAUUGAUUGAUCCCUGAUUGAGUGCGGGGAGCACCUCCCCA